GUGUUCAGACAGUGUUAUGAGGACUCUGCCUCUGCAUCUUUCAUUUCUGCCUCAACAUCAGCUGCUGCUUCAGUAGGCUCAGAACGUGCUACACUGAGACAGCAACAUUACUCUAUCCAUUCAGAAUCAAAAGGGAGUAAACUUUGUCCAAAAUUUUUAGCAAAGUUCAUGUGUGUAUCUCAAGAGCAUUCCACAACAAAGAUUCUGCCUGCAAUCCUCCACUUCAAGCCAUGUGAAGGGCUGUUUCCCCUUUGCCUUCUGCCAUGAUUGUAAAUUUCCUGAGGCCUCCCCAAAAGCUGAGCAGACGUCAGCAUCAUACUUCCUUAACAGCCGAUGGAAUUGCAAACUGAAGCAGCAUUAAUUUCUUAAAACAGAAAUUUACACUUCAAUAACUAAUGAUGUUUCCAACAUUCCAAGACUUCCAGCAGUAUAGAUGCUAUGCCACAAAAUCCUGACAUUGGGCCGGGCAUGGUGGCUCACACCUGUAAUCCCAGCACUUUGGGAGGCCAAGGCAGGAGGAUCACCUUGGGUCAGGAGCUUGAGACCAGCCUGGCAAAUAUAGUGAAACCUUGUCUCUACUAAAAAAUACAAAAAUUAGCUGGGCAUGAUGGCAGGUGCCAUUAUGUAGUCCCAGCUUCUUGGGAGGCUAAGACAGGAGAAUCGCUUGAAUCCAGGAGACGGAGGUUGCAGUGAGCCGAGAUUGUGCCACUGCACUCCAGCCCAGGUGACACAGCAAGACUUCAUCUCAAAAAAAAAAAAA
rnacentral:lncRNA from 10 species